rnacentral:rRNA from 1 species
GUCCACGCUGUAAACGAUGAAGACUAGGUGUGGGGGUUCAGUCCCCUCCGUGCCGCAGCUAACGCAUUAAGUCGUCCGCCUGGGGAGUACGGCCGCAAGGUUGAAACUCAAAGGAAUUGACGGGGCCCGCACAAGCGGUGGAGCAUGUGGUUCAAUUCGAUGCAGAGCGAAGAACCUUACCUGGGCUUGACAUGUAGGAAGUAGAAACCGGAAACGGCGACGACCUGUUAAGUCAGGAGCCUACACAGGUGGUGCAUGGCUGUCGU